rnacentral:rRNA from 1 species
UGGGGAAUAUUGCACAAUGGGCGAAAGCCUGAUGCAGCAACGCCGCGUGAGUGAUGAAGGCCUUCGGGUUGUAAAGCUCUGUCUUUUGGGACGAUAAUGACGGUACCAAAGGAGGAAGCCACGGCUAACUACGUGCCAGCAGCCGCGGUAAUACGUAGGUGGCAAGCGUUGUCCGGAUUUACUGGGCGUAAAGGAUGCGUAGGCGGAUUUUUAAGUGAGAUGUGAAAACCCUAAGCUUAACUUGGGGACUGCAUUUCAUACUGGAAAUCUAGAGUGCGGGAGAGGAGAAUGGAAUUCCUAGUGUAGCGGUGAAAUGCGUAGAGAUUAGGAAGAACACCAGUGGCGAAGGCGAUUCUCUGGACCGUAACUGACGCUGAGGCAUGAAAGCGUGGGUAGCAAACAGGAUUAGAUACCCUGGUAGUCCACGCCGUAAACGAUGAGUACUAGGUGUAGGAGGUAUCGACCCCUUCUGUGCCGCAGUUAACACAAUAAGUACUCCGCCUGGGAAGUACGAUCGCAAGAUUAAAAACUUAAAUGAAUUGACGGGGUUAUAGCUGUUUCCU